UACGUACGUCAGAAAAACUUAGGUCGGCUAAGUUUCAUUAAUGACUUCUUGACUAUAAGGCCAUAAAUACAAAAGACGGACAUACUUCGCACCACAGGUGGGCAACUGUUGUAGCUGACAUGUUAGCAAAGUAGGAUAUAAAGGAGAAUUUAGUUUAUAUUUGUACGCAACGAUUAACCAUUCUUAACAAAAAAGAUUCUGAGCGAAGGUCAGUCAAUAGUAUUGCUUUUUUUAACAAUGUUCGUUUUAACGAAAAAACGAUUGAUUGAAAAGUAUUUA